AAUUUUGAAAAUAGUAAAUUUUGCUAUCCAGGGGGGUGGUCAACUUUUGCUCUCCUAAAAGUGGCUUGCGCACGGAAAUGACAAACGGUAUUCUUUAUUUGAGUUUAUGUAUGAAAAGUUCGCUAUUUGUUGCAUUUGUGAUAAAAUUUCGGCAGGAUUUUACCGAGUACAAAUCCUCCGAAAAGCCUAUGAAAACGUUACAUUUUUCUCUGUUGGUGCUGUUCUUGCUUCAUUAUGAAUUCAUUUUUACUCCCAUGAGAGUUCCAUGGAAUUUCCAUGGAAUUUGUGCUUUCGAGUUGUUUGUGCUGAAACGCAUUCUCUCGUAUAAUAACCCGUACACUUUGAAAUGGCGAUGCCACAAUUUACCCCGCAGCAGAGAGCUUUUAUGGUAUCAGAGUUCCUCCGUAGCAACAACAUAAACUUGGUUCGCCAAAGUUCACGAAAGAAUAUCCGGAUGCAUGUACGAUGCCCUUCACGUGCGAAUACGUGAAGGCAUCGUACAUCUGGAUAUUUGUUCGUGAAACUUUGGCGAACCAAGUUUAUGUUGUUGCUACGGAGGAACUCUGAUACCAUAAAAGCUCUCUGCUGCGGGGUAAAUUGUGGCAUCGCCAUUUCAAAGUGUACGGGGUAUUAUACGAGAAAAUGCGUUUCAGCACAAACAACUCGAAAGCACAAAUUCCAUGGAAAUUCCAUGGAACUCUCAUGGGAGUAAAAAUGAAUUCAUAAUGAAGCAAGAACAGCACCAACAGAGAAAAAUGUAACGUUUUCAUAGGCUUUUCGGAGGAUUUGUACUCGGUAAAAUCCUGCCGAAAUUUUAUCACAAAUGCAACAAAUAGCGAACUUUUCA